UGGCAGGAAAGGCAGUGGGAGCAUGUGCUGGUAGAAAGAAACCAGCCUGGGUGAGACACGGGCUACGACGAUGCAUGGAUUGAAGAGCUGGCUGUGCAAAUUUGAAAGCCUUGGUGUCUCUAAAGGCAUCUGGGUCUGCAAUGUUGGGUCAGGUCCCCCAACAUAGGAAUGGUAAGACCCCAGGAAGCCUAGAAACUUCCAGUGAUGGCUGAGUCAGAGAUUUCAUGGGCUCCUUCCCCACUAAUCUCCAGGACAGAACAUAUGAAGGCAAGUGGCCCUACCAACCACCAGGCCAAUGGAGAAGGUCAAUCUCUAUUGUCAGGGAUGAGGAUCCUACAUGCUCUCUGGGCAUAACCCAGCACAGGACAGUUCUCCAGGUGGGCAUCUUGGUCUGGUACAGUGCCUUGGUCUUGACAUCAGAGAGGAUGCUGUCCAGGUCCAGGUGCUGGUUAUUGUCACCACAUUGGUACCAUUAGACUGUCUGCAGUUCCUGGGCCAGUUCCUGUCCAGCAGAACAGGGAUCAGUCCUCUGGAAAAGCUCAGUACCCACAUUAAGAGGUUCCCUGAGUGCCCUCGCCAGCAGCCAUGUCCUCAGGGGAAGACCAGGGGAACUUUUCUCUCUUUCUAAGUUUUCCAACUAUCCCAGGGGCCUCCCAGGGAGCUCAGACCCCAAACUCAUAGCAGCAUAGAAGACUUGGAGGAAUUCAGUUUCCUGCUGCAGGAUGUCCACUUUGGCCUUGAGGUCCACUCUGACCAAGCAGCCACUGUCCACAUCCUGAAAGAAAGGAAGCAAUGGGUCCAGUGGCCUCAAGAUGCCAGAGGGAAAGUGACAUUGACAGGGCAGGCACUGGGGGAGACUAACGAAGUGGAGACAAUGCCAGGUGGAUUUGAUAUCCUAUGAAAUUGAAAAACAAGACUUUGGAGCCAGAAAUCAGGGUUGCCUUCAUUCUUACUACUUCUGACAGUCUUGCCUGAAGCCCAGUGCUGACUUGGAGGUCAUUUGCAUUGGCCAGGGAUGCUUCACAGCUGAGGAAAGUGAGCCCAGUACAGAGAAGGUUGGAGAGCAUAAUGUUGCAAGGGCCCUGUCCCUCAAGACCUGAGGGACAAAGCCAGCUGCCUCUCACCUUCUUCAGCACCAUGGAGUCACCCUCAGCCUUUGUCCUGCUGUUGACCUCUGCUUCACAUCUGGCAGGAGUCUAUAGAAGAGGAGACUGUUAGUCUCAAGACAUUCCCUUUUCUCUGCUUUCCUACACUCUGAACCCACAUCCACAAACAGAUUCACAAGUUGGAAGGAGAGGCCAAUUCUAUGCCCUAGCACUGCUCUCACACCAGACCUGAGAUCCACACGCAUUUUGGCCCAACACCAAGUGUCCCACCUUCCCCCCACCACUCACUUCUCAUAUCCUUCCAUGGAACCCUGGGUGACCUUCAGCUCUGCUUCCUGCCUCAUCUUCUCUGCUGUGAACUUGUCCACCUUGACUUAGCCCUCAAAGUUGGGCUCCAGGCUGGAGGUGCUGUAGCAGCACCCACCUGGUCUCCAGAAUCUUGGUUUCACUGCUCAAGGAACCGCACCUGAAAACAGUGAGUCCAAGGGCUCAGCUCCACAGGACAGCCACAGUGGGCUUGGGCUUGGUGAGAGUGACAAGUGACUCCAGUUGGGUGUUAAUCCCAACAUGCUAUGCUAGAGAUUAGUUCACCCCAUUAUUUGUAGAGAUUUCAGGUAUGCUUACAUAGAGGCCCAGGUUUCCUGAUGUAGGAUAAGGACUGAGCCUUUGGAUGUUUACCAAGUUCCCUAGUUGAUUCUUGUUUGCACCAAAGUUUGAGAACCACUGGCCUGCAUCAUUUGGAAGAGACGUCAGGAAAAGACUCAUCAAUGAGCCAGCAAAAUAACUCACUUUCGGGAAUAUUCUUUUACCAAAUAGCCAGAGUUACUUGAUGUGGACAAAAUAUUUCCUUUUUCCCAUGAUUCUGUCUGUAUUCCUGACAUUGCAAGUGACAGCCACAAUAAAUAGCAAAAGAGAAAAAUUUUCACUGAUAAUCAGUAUCUUGAAUUUGAGCACCUUCUUGGUAAAGCUCAUGAGACACUGUCUCCCUGCAGCAAACCUCCUCCCCUAUUCAUCCCUCAGUUUCUGCCCCUACCUCUCACCCCAGCAGCCCUUAUCAGGCAAUGAAAGAAGAACAUAGUUUAGUUUAAUGUUUUCCGAGACGGAGCUUUAAUCAAGCAGGAGCCCCAUACAACUUAUCACCUUUUUUUUCAACUUCACAGAGGUAUAAUUGAGAUAUAAUAAAUGGUAAUAUAUUUAAAUUUUUUUUUCAACGUUUAUUUAUUUUUGAGACAGACAGAGACAGAGCAUGAACGGGCGAGGGGCAGAGAGAGAGGGAGACACAGAAUCGGAAACAGGCUCCAGGCUCUGAGCCAUCAGCCCAGAGCCCGACGCGGGGCUCGAACUCACGGACCGCGAGAUCGUGACCUGGCUGAAGUCGGACGCUUAGCCGACUGCGCCACCCAGGCGCCCCAAUGGUAAUAUAUUUAAAGUGUACAACAUGAUGAUUUGAUUUAUGUAUACAUUGAGAGAGGAUUUCCCACAUUUGAGUUAAUGAACACAUCCUUCACCUCACAUGUUUUCUUUGUGUGUGUGUGUGUGUGUGUGUGAGAGAGAGAGAGAGAGAGAGAGAGAGAGACUUAAGCUUCACCUUCUUAGCAAAUUUCAAUUACACGACACAGUGUUGUCAACUACCAUCAUCAGGAUAGAACAUAGCUCCUUACUGCACCAUCUACGCUGGUAAGGCAGCCUUAAAUCCAGAGCUCUGGGCACAUUCACCAGUUCUACUUUUCUUCUUACUGGCUUCUUCUUAUGUUUUCCCAGCUCCCAGUCUAUGCAGUAGUGCUAAUCCAUAGUUGUUCCUCCCUAAGAAAGAGCACCCGGAGAAGGGUGGGGCCAGGCAGAACCACAGCAUUCUUCCCAGACAAUCCCGAGCGUCCCAUUGGCACAAACCCAAGAUGCAACCUCCCUGCCUGCCUCAUCUUUCCCAGGGCUAUUCACAAUAAACCUCAAUCGAAGGUUGCUCUAGGAGCACACUGUUUGGUGCAGUUAGUAUAAGAAGUCUGACCUCCUUUUGGUGCUAAAACGAGAUGAGAUCUGAAGGUCAGGAUUCCUCUGGGCUACGAAUAUAGUUCACCACUUACAGCCUGGCCAACAGAAUUUGAAAAGCACCUGGUCAAAUCAUUUGCAUUGGCCCUAUGCUCCUUUUCCAAGAGCCCAUUAACUGGACAACAUCUGAUUUUUUGUGGUCUCCACUCACCGGCUUUCAGAGUGGAAAUGCCAGUCUGCAGAGAAAGAAACUCCAAGACCCAGAAUCACGUGGCAACUUAUGGGGAAGAAACCACUUGCCAAAGUCAAUGUGUCCACUUACAAGAUAUCCAUUGACUAUUUUGACUUCUUUAAAACUGAACCUGUCAGCCUAUUCUGAUUCAGUAUACAUGCAGAACAGAUUUGCUUUAUUUCAGGGUAACACCAUAAGGCCCUCGUUUGAUGGGGUGGUGACAAGUAGCUGAAGGUCAGAUCCAACCUCUUAGGGAGGCUUGGAGAACAUGAAGAAUAAAGUAAACACCUUCCUCCAGGGCCAAUUAAAAGAGACAGAAACUGGGCUAGCUGACCUCAGAUAAUCUAGACCAGCACAGUCCAAUAUGGUAGUCACUAGCCCAUUUCUGUCCUAGGAGAAAGAUCUUUCUGCAGAUCCCUGAAGCUAUCAAGGGCUGGUUGUCUGACCCCCCAGGCAUGAGCACUCACCUUGUCAAUGAAGGUAGUGAACUUGUCAUUGACUUCCUUGAUCUGCCCCUCUCCAGCUGCUCACCUCCUGGGCCUCAGGGGCAAUCUGCACAUCCAGUGAUCCAUUACAACUUCUGAGAUGCUCCCAGGGCAGACUGUUGGACAUACAAACCUCAGCCCCUCAAAACCACCACCAAAGCCAAACCCAACAACACCGAGGCUGCCCACCCCAUAACGCCUAUCCCCAUAGCUCCCCAGACUGCGGCCAUGGCCCAAACCUCCAGCUAUACUGAUGGAGAUGCUCUUGCUCCCACCAAAGCUAACGAGAUUCCGGCUACUGUAACCUUGCAGACUGGCAUGGCCUUGGCAACAGCCACCACUCUUACAGAUGGACAGUGAGCUUUCUGUCCCUCUCUAGCACCAUCCUGGCAGGAUGGCCAAGCCUCUGCCAAAGCUCCUGCUCUGACACUUCAAGGCAUAGACCUGCCAGCUCAUGGUGACACAAGGGACGUGAGUGGCACUGAAGAGGCGGGAAGAGGCUGCCUCAGUGUUUCUCCACUAGGGUGCAGAGGGAUCCCCUCAUAUAUCUCCUCGAGUUGCCAGCUGGCCAAGGAAAAGUUCUUCGAUUUGGUUCCCCUGAAGGUGAAAGUGACAAGAAAAAAACCGAUAUCCUCUACUUGGGGACAGUAUGUCAGAUAAUUAUCGCUUAGUGAGCAGGGGUUUCUUAUUAUUUAAGUAUCAGCUAUCUGUUGACCUAUGCAAUACAAGGGGUGUAUGAUUACAUCCAAAAAGCUCUCAGAUAAGGUGUUUUCUUAGACCAUUGUGUUUCAACCUUUUUAGUUUUUAGAAGAAUGGUGUUGAAGCUCAAGGUACAUCUUCUAGAGGCUUUAGACAGUGACACUGAAUUAGAAACUGAUCUGGAAAGAAUGGUGAUUCAGAGAGACCUAUUCGAUGGAGUUUUCGAUAAUUGGUGGGAAUCACUUCUGCUUCUCCACCCACCCGGCCAGAUGUGUGUGUGUGUGUGUGUGUGUGUGUGUGUGUAUGUGUGUUCCCAAAACAGAUGUGUCCAAAACAGAAUAGAAAGUAGUCAAAUAAGCUGCAUCCAUAAAUGGAAUAUUAUUUAGAUAAUUUAAAUGAUGGUUACAAGUUUUAUGCAAAAGAAUUUUUUUUCUGUUUUAUUGUUAACUGAGAAAAGGGGCAAUCAAGAUUGAAUAAUCUUGGAAUUAGACCUGGAAUAAGAUUGGAGAUAGAGUCUGAGAGCAGCUAUAUAUAUAUAUAUAUAUAUUUUUUUUUUUUAACUAACUAAAGCUAAAUACAUUUAUUAUUUUUUUAAUGUUUCUUCAUUUAUUUUUGAGAGAGUGUGUGUGAGUAGAGGAGAGACAGACAGAGAUACACAGAAUCCAAAGCAGGCCCCAGGCUCCGAGCCGUUAGCACAGAGCCUGACAUGGGACUCAAACCCAUGAACCGUGAGAUCAUGACCUGAGCCAAAGUCAGACAGACAUUUAACCAAUUGAGCCACCCAGGCACCCCUAAAGCUAAAUAGUUUAGAAAAAUAUGUUCAAAAUAUUAUACCUAUAUUUCAAAGUCUCAACAAUAGUUAUUUCAUGUAAUGGCUGGUUUAAAAUUUCUUUCACCUUUUACACUUCUAAGUUUGAAAUAAUGAGCAGGUGUUAUUUUUGUAAUACAAAGUAUCAAGCGCCGUGAUGUUCCAAACCCCUCUGCCGGGAAAUGAAACAGCCUUUCCUUUAGCAAAUGCUCAGGCAGGCCAAGGACACUGGUCUCUUCUUUUGGUCACCCCAUAAUUAUGAGGGCAGCCACCCAAGGGCAUAUGUGGACUCAGGCUCCUCUUACUAUCUGUCACCCAGGCCAGGAAAAUGCAGGUUACCACACUGACCAGCGGCCCCAUCUCAGGCCCUUAAUUCCCCUCUCCCCCCUGAAUCUGCAGGUGUGACAGCAGGCACCUAGCACACGUGAGCAUUCACACAUGCACAGGCAGGGCUCAGCGAUCUCUCCCACUUGGCUUCCUCUCCAGACCCAGACUGAGAAGCUGAGAUGUCUCCCCCACCCUGUAACCCUGUACCCUCCCUGCUUGGCCAGGCCCCACCCAUUGUACAAACAACCCUAAUCUGAUCACCGGGAGGAGAUCCAGGCAAAGGAGGAAAACAGAGUGAGGUAUAAUGGAAGUGACGUGGGAUGUAAGAUCUAUACCUCCGGUUUUUUAUUCCACUCCCAUUACUUCCCAGUGUCGUGUCUGUGGGCUUUUCGGCUUCGGUUUUGUCACCUGCCCAAAUGGGGUGACAAUAACAUCUGUCCUUGCUACUUAACUAAGGUGUUACAUAAACCAUUCAAGAGAAUGGAUGGGGCACCAGGGUGGCUCAGUUGGUUGUCAGGUCAUGAUCUCAUGGCUCAUGUGUUCGAGCCUCACGUUGGGCUCUGUGCUGACAGCUCAGAGCCUGGAGCCUGCUUCAGGUUCUGUCUCCCUGUCUCUGUUCCUCCCCUGCUCACACUCUCAAAAAUAAAUAAACAUUUAAAAAAACCUCUAAAAAAUUAAAAAAGAAAAAUCUGAAAAUCAAUCAGUAUAAUUCACUGUAUGAAGAAAAAGGAAGAAAAAUUAUAUGAUCAUUUGAAAAGUUUCAAAAAAUCACUAGACAAAAUUCAACUCUCAUUCAAGAUUCAAAAAAAACCUACAUUUAAUAUUAUAGAUAAAGGUGAACACAUAAAUGCUUCCCUAUAAGAUUGGGAACAAGGUAAAAAUGUCCACUUUGCUACUCUAUUCAACAUUAUACUGUUGUACCGAAGGUUCCAGCCAUUGCAAUGAAGCAAGAAAAAGAAAUAAUACCAAACAGUCUGAAAAAGAGGAGACAAAAAUCUUUAUUCAUAGACAACGUAACUGUGUACAUCUAAAAUCUUAAGGAAUCUACAAAAAAGCCACUAGAACUAAUAUAUGAAUUUAGCAAGGUCAGGGUCAAUAUAUUUUUUAUUGUAUUUCUGUAUACUAGCAACAAAUAAUAAAUUUAAAAGUUUAAAUGUUAUCUGCAACAGCAUAAAAACAUGAAAUACUUGGGGAUAAAUGUAACACAAUAUGUGUAAGACCCAUACCCUGAAAACUACAAAUCGUUGCUGAGGAAAAUUGAAGAAGAUGUAUUAAUCACGUGUUUUAUUUUCUGUGUUGUAUUAUGUUUCAACAUCUUCAGGCUGAGGAGAGCCUGUUUUCCUGGGCUUGGCCCAGAACAGGUCUUUCAUAUGCAAACCAACCAAUCCUGAGUCUGUAGCCUCUACUACAUCCUUAUCAAACUCUCCCACCCCAGAGCCAACAUUUCCUUUGCCCUAAAUCAUCCCAGGGCCAGAUACCAGGGAGCUAGAGACCACCACUAUGCCCCAAAGCCCACGGAGUCAUUCAAAUUAGCCAGUCCUAAACGGUUUCAUCUGCCCUGCCCUGCCUUGCCUUGCCCAUGGAAACUGCGAUCCCAUGGCCUUGAUGUUGCCCUCCUUUCUGCUUCCUAACUGACACUGGUGACUUCCCCCGUGACCCUAUGUGGUCUGCAGUGACCCUGCCUCUGGGACCUGGGAGUAUAAUAGCCCUUUGCCUUCCAAGCUCCAGUCUUAUUUCCUCCCAGCCUAGUGGGAGGCCAACUCAACAGCACAGAUGGGGCUCUUUUAUCCUGAGCUGGAGAGAUAUGCAGAGAUCAUCUCAUUCUAUCUCCUUGGAAGGAGAAAUGACCAGUCUGAUAUAGCAUAGCAAUUCCCCCCAAGGUGAAGGUCAGCAUCGAAGUCUCCCAACUUCCAGUCAAAGGCCUUCCCCUCCUCACAGCAAGUAGGAGCAUGAAUGUCCCACUCAAGUGGGUUUUCUGGAGGUGGUGAGCUGUCCAAGCACUGUCAUUUGAGUGGACAGGGAAGGAGUGUGGUAAAGGGGUGAAAGGAGGAAAGAAGUUCAUCUGAAUUCAUACGAGGACUCACAGGUAGAGAAAAGGAGGGAACCACAGGCAGGAAGGUGUCCUAAAUUGUCUGCCACAUCAUCAGGAUGUAAAUAUUUAGCCCAGUUCCCUAUGGAAAUAGAGCUUGUAAAACCCUUCUGCCUGUGCCCAUCUCCCUUUUGUAGCCCAGGACCUGAUAAGUCAGCUACCAGACCCGGUGGAAGACGGGCAGAGGCCCUGGUAAGAGGGGUGUGACCCAGAUUCUAGACUCUCCUAGAUACUAAACUUUCCUAGAUUCUCUCCUCCUGUGACACUUAGAAGGAAAGGAGAAUCUGUCCCCCAAAGCUGGUCACUCAUUCCAUUACCUGCUUAGAGCCAGACUUCAUUCAGGCUUCAGGCCUGUGUCCCCCUGAGCUCAUCUACACAGCUCAUUUUGCUAUUAGAGUCCAACAUGAAAGUAACCUGUGUUUGCAUGGAUCUGAAAAGAAGGGCUACGUCUCAGGUAGAGUAGAAGCAAGGAGAGUGAACCAUAGAAGGGGCUGGAAACUCACAGCACCGAUAAUCUGAGCAACUAAAGUAGCUGGGAAUAAAAGCUGUCGCCUUACCUGCUUCACCUUCUUUCCCCUCAGAAAGUUAUCAGAACAGCUCACCAUUCCCAAAGCCUUGAAACAAUACAAGAACUGGGAAGCAGAGGCCAAGUUUCUAUGCCUGCCCUGGACUUUAUCUGUUUCCUUCCCUAAACUGACGAUUCAGAAUCACAGCCCUAAAUGUGUGGGACACUAGACCCUGUUUAGGGCCUUGUUCAUGCCUGCAUAGUAAAUAUACCCUAAAACAGCUAGGCCCCCACAUUUCUCCUUCCUAGUAGGCACCCUCACCUCCACAGACCUCUCCCACCUAACCAAGCUCCGGGAGCUCUCAGGGUCCAUCUCUGAGCAGCACAUCAGCCAUGACUGGCCAUCUUCAUGUAUUAUCACCUUGCCCCCUUCAGCCUUCAGACCUCUUCCUGUCUCGUACCCUCCAACCUGGGGCCAGCUGGUCUGGGAUCAGGAAAAAACAUCUAUUCUCUAUUAACGCCUCCCCUACGUUGUUCAAAGCCAUCUCGACAGCCUCUAGGGAUGCGGAAGAGUCUCACAGACUCAACCAAGGCCUCACCAAGGUUUUGGAGCUAAAGUAAAAUGAGAAAGAAAAGAAUCCCCCCAGGAUUUUUUUUUUAUUUGAGCUAUUUUACGACACAUCUGCUACAUCUGAAUACCCACACAUAUAUCUCGACCUGACCCAAUCAAAGACACCAACUCCCAUUUUGGCAACUCUGACUAGUCUAAUACCAACCCCAAGAGCCCAGCCCUUCCUGAGUUCCCAGGAAGCUGCAGUCAGAUGACAAGGCCUUUGUGGGGAAGAGGCUGAAAUCGUCUCCAUGACCACAGGAGAAGGCUGCCCUGAUUGGGGUGUCGAGGGGGAGGGGCUCCCAGGGGGCUAUUGCAUGGUUGGGGGCAAGGGGGAAGGGGGGACAAAAGGGCCCAUUAUCUGCUGAAUGCGUUGGAGAACUUCUCUGGUGGUAGUGGAGAAAUGUUCUGUGAAAAAAAGCAGUUUUUUGUUUUGGAGAUCACUUUAUAGUCCUCCAGAGACUUCCCCAGGUCCUCUCCUUCAGCCUUUGUUGAGAACUCCCACUGGGUACUUAGGUCUGGGUACUGGGUACGUAGAGCACCCAGUGACCUAGGUUGAGCUAAGAAAAUACUAAUUCCGCCUUGGAAGCUUAGAGCUGCAGACAGCCUGGCUGGAACUCAGGGGGGCCAGCUGAUUUGUCCUGAGGAGCAGGGACAUCAGCUCAGAACUCUUGUCAGAAGGUGGGGGGUGGGGGUGGCAUCUGUGGGAAAAUGCUUUUAAGAAGAGUGGCUUUUUCUGGGGAAGAGAAUUUUCCACAAAUCCCCCUGUCACCCUCCUGGCGAUAUCCCAGUCCCCAGAUCUCACAAAUACUUUUCUAAGAAUGUCAUAUCCACACCCUGACUCCAGGGCUAGCCCCCCCAGUCUCUGUUCUUCAAGACUUCCAGAAAAAAAAGAAAAUACACUGCCCUUGGCUUCUCCCAGCCACACUGCCUCAGGGCCAUAUGUCCCUGCCCCAGGAAGCUUCGCUUUUAUAUAUUUCCCAAUCUCUCCCUUUUCUGGUGUCUUAAAUUAGACAGCAAUGAGUAAUAACAGCUCCUGACUGCCCAUUUCUGCCAAGGCUUGACAUUAAACACACAUCACAUGUUAUAAAUUGCAGAUGAAGUUUAUUGUGCAGACACCAAGACCACAGCACUUUAGAUGUAAAGCCAACAAGGCGGGCUAUAUACACAGAAACAUGUUUCCCUGGGGGGCAGGCCCACGAGAAAGACACAGGCUUUGAGAUGGGGCCUUCAACAGAGUAAUCCUCAGGAGGAGGACCACCAAAGGGGCAAUGCAAGGAGGGGCCAGGCAAGGGGGUAUGGCUGGAAGUACAAGCCUGGGCGAUGCAGCUUCUUCCCGGGGGGGUGGGGGGGGGGCGGGGGGCAGAGGGUGUCACUGGCUCCAAUCAACUGGUUCGGAGAGAAGAUAUUUCAAAAACCAUAUGUGAGCAACCCUUUCCCCCCCAUAUGUGAGCAACCCUUUCCCCCAAAAUGUCAUCAGGGGUGGAGGACAAGGUUUGAUUUGCUGCCAAUGGGAUGUACAGAGACAGGCUUCUACAUUCUAAAGCGGCAGAAUCGAGAGUAGGACUCCAUCUUUAUCUAAAAGAGAAGGUCACGCUGGAACUGUAACCUUCACCUGAGCCAGAACCACCCUUUUCAGAGCCGGAGCCCCCUCUGGAGCCCCCUCCAGAGCCAUAGCCCCCUCCAGAGCUGGAUCCACCUCUGGAGCCCCCUCCAGAGCCAUAGCCCCCUCCACUGCCCCCUCGGGAGCUUGAUCCUCUGCCUCCAGAGCUGUAACUGCCACUUCCAGAGCUGUAUCCUCCUCCUCUAGAACCGGAUCCUCUGCCUCCAGAGCCAAAGCCGGCCUUAGAUGUCAUGCUCGAAGACACGGUGCUGCUUGUCACAGCUGCGGGGAGAGAUGGCAUCCCCGUGGAGAGUAUGAGUGCCUCGGCAUCCUCCCGACACACCACCCACAGGGCAGGAACACCCCCACUACUUACACACAGUCACGUUGCUACUGAGGUCUCCAGACAUCCUGUCAGAAAGAGAGAAAAUAGCUUAUGGCAGAGCCCUUGGGUUCUGGGUGGCUCAGUCCGUGAAGCGUCCGACUUCGGCUCAGGUCAUGAUCUCGCGGUCCGUGAGUUGGAGCCCCGUGUCGGGCUCUGUGCUAACAGCUCGGAGCCUGGAGCCCGCUUCUGAUUCUGUGUCUCCCUCUCUCUCUCCCUCUCCCUCACUCACGCUCUGUGUGUGUGUGUGUGUGUGUGUGUGUUUCAAAAAUAAACAAAUAUUAAAAAAGAAUUUUUUUAAAGAAAGCAAAUUCCCUUCUGAUUUGCAACCCAUGUUUGUAUUUAAAUCCAUCUGAGGGAGUCCGCUAUUCAGAAUCCCAACCACGCUAGAAAUUUUGAAACAAGGCUGCACUGUGAACAUUCAACUGGGAAAGAACUGUAACCCUGUACAGCCUCCCUAUUCUCCCCUCCUGCUCCGCCUUCCUCUGCUUUGUCUGAAAUCUGUCCCACUUCUUCCUGCAGGGCAUGGCCUCGAAGAUGAGUCCAGAGCAACACCCUGAGCAAAGCGGCUCCUUCCCCAUCAUACUGGCUUGCUGCUGGCCUGGGGUAGCUUGUCCCCUUCCAGCUGCUUCAGGCAAAUAAAACCACUGGGGAUGCUGGUGACACUGACAGAGGGCUCAGACAGCGUCGUCAAACAGAGGAAGAAACGUUCCCUUUGGCGGGUUAGCAAAGGGUUCAGUCUGUCACUCCAGAAAUCUGCAAAGAACCGGGUCUGGCACCUGCUGCAGGGGAGCUGUCAGCCAGUCAGCAUGGUCCAACACGUGAUCCCCCUGUUCUGGGUCGCAAGGUGGAGGCAGACAAGGCCAUCCACCCGGCAGACCCAUAAACCAAUGUCUCGUACUCUCUAGGACCAACGUCAUUUCACAGCAUUUUAGUUUCUCUUUCAGAAAAGACCAAGAUUAAUGUACUGCUUAAUCUACUUUGAUUUAAUUUCACUUAACUGGGUGUAAUUUAAUCUGACUUGUUAGUCAUGCCAUAUUGAUAAAUCUACAACUGUACGUUAAUGCUUUGGGUCCUGAAUGGCUGCUUGGGGAAUGUGGUGACAUCAGCUCUCACCUGUCAGAGGUCCUGCCCCACCCCUGCUUUCCCUGCCUUUGCCUCCAGCCCCGGUUCUAGGAGAGAGGGGAGGGUGGACCACGUGACCCUCCUGCUUCCCAAGUGUCCCCACCUGCACUCCUCGCCCUCCAGCAGCUUGCGGUAGGUGGCGAUCUCCACGUCCAGGGCCAGCUUCACGUUCAUCAGCUCCUGGUAAUCCUUCAGCAGCCGGGCCAGGUCCUCCUUGGCCUGCUGCAGGGCGUCCUCAAGGUCAGAGAGCUUGCCCUGAGCAUCUUUGAGGGCAUGCUCUCCUUUCUGCUCCGCAUCCGCAAUGGCUUCUUGCACACUCUUACACUGGGAGAGAAGGAGAAAAGGUUUCUGUUAGUCUGGAGAGCUGAGUCUGCCUGGCAGAGGGGGAGGGGAGCAGAUGUGUUUAGGGUGUGAGAAGCCAGACUCACUGGCCCCGGAAGUGUUGGGUCCCCCUGGAGUUGACGCAAGUCGCAAACAAGGAUGCUGAGACUUGCUGCCAUCUCUGGGGCACCGCCUUCCAGCUGCCUCUGACUGGACCCUGAUGCGUUGCCCAUAAUGACCCUUACUUCACAGCACAGGGCCAGAGGCACUGUCCCAGUCUAUAGUCGCAAAUGAAAACAUCCCAUGUGGACAACUUCACAGAGCCCCUGCUGCCUCUGGAGUCCAUUCUCUGCCCCACAGUAUCUCUCCCAAGCCACCAUCCAUCCCCCGGCCAGCUCCCUGCCGCGGCUGCUGCCCCACCACCGCACCGCCACUGGUGUUUCAGGACAGUGCCAAGCAUGGAGGGCAGGCUCUGUCUGCCACCCCCACCCCCCUGCCACCGGCCAGAUGACUUCUUGCCUUAUUUAUUAUCACUCCCUUCCGCUCAUGGAAGCAAUCCAAAAGGUAGCACAAUUCUUUCCCUGCACUAAUCCUCACUUUGGAAUGUCUCUUAUACCACCGUAAAAAUUGUGAUAAGCCUUAAAUUUUGUUACACUCAAGGUGGUUGGGAUCGACAUAUGCUAGAUCCGAAUUCCUCAGUUUCUCCUCUCUCUCACACACACGCAGUCACACACACUCACCCAUACACAACCUCCCACCCACCCGAACCUCACUUGACCCCCAGAGCCGCACAGCCUUGGGGGUCACGCCCACCUGCUUCUUCACAUGGGCGAUCUCCCCUUGCAGCCUCUGGAUCAUGCGGUUCAGCUCACUGAUCUCCAUCUUGACCUCCUUCAGGCUGUCUCCGUGUUUCCCUGCAGUAAUCUGGAGCUCCUCGUACUGUAUGGGAAGAGGGCAGUGGCAGCGUGGAGGAAGCUUGGCCCAAGCCAAGGUAAGUCUGAUGCAGGCUGGGUCAACCAAGCUGCAUUUGUGGGAGGUGGGGGACCGUCUCACGUCCCCUCAAGGACUUGGUGCCAUUGUCAGUUGAGGGCAGUUGAGGCACUAUGGACACUUGCUUGGGAAUGAUGCCCAACUUCCAUUAGACAAAAGCACCAGUAAUCUCACGGGACACGUUCCGGCCGGGGUGAAGCCCAGCUUGUUAGACAGAGCUGAGGCUCUCUGUGCUCUCCUUGCACUUGCCUUGCUGUGGUACAGGGCCUCGGCCUCUGCCUUGCUCUUCUGGGCGAUCUCCUCAUACUGGGCACGGACCUCGGAGAUGAUGCUGUCCAGGUCCAGGCUGCGGUUGUUGUCCAUGGACAGGACAACGCUGGUGUCGGUGAUACUCUGCUGCAUCUGGGACAGCUCCUGCAACACACGGGGAGGUCUGGCCAUGGCUUCCCUGCCCACAGCCAAAGGCGGUGAGGAGACAUUCCCCUCCCCGGUGUUGAGGACAUAUGGGUUCUCAGACUGAGCUGGGUGGGAUACACUGGGUGAGAUUAAAGCAAACAUAGACACCAAUCCCAGGCUUC
rnacentral:lncRNA from 1 species